rnacentral:rRNA from 1 species
CGACGUAGGGCGCAAGCGUUGUCCGGAAUUAUUGGGCGUAAAGAGGCUCGUAGGCGGUCUGUUGCGUCCGCUGUGAAAACUCCGGGGCUUAACCCCGAGCCUGCAGUGGAUACGGGCAGACUAGAGGUAGGUAGGGGAGAAUGGAAUUCCCGGUGUAGCGGUGAAAUGCGCAGAUAUCAGGAGGAACACCGAUGGCGAAGGCAGAUCUCUGGGCCGUAACUGACGCUGGAGGAGCGAAAGCAUGGGGAGCGAACAGG